rnacentral:rRNA from 1 species
GUGUCAGCAGCCGCGGUAAGACGAACCGUGCGAACGUUAUUCGGAAUAACUGGGCUUAAAGGGAGCGUAGGCGGGCUAUCAAGUCUGGGGUGAAAUCCCACGGCUCAACCGUGGAACUGCCUUAGAUACUGACGGCCUCGAGGGAGAUAGGGGCAUGCGGAACUGUAGGUGGAGCGGUGAAAUGCGUUGAUAUCUACAGGAACUCCGGUGGCGAAAGCGGCGUGCUGGAUCUCUUCUGACGCUGAGGCUCGAAAGCUAGGGGAGCAAACGGGAUUAGAAACCCUCGUAGUCC